rnacentral:lncRNA from 1 species
CACCUGCCCUGCCCAGAUGUCUAUUGCUGCCUCUGUGACUCUAAACACUUUCCAGUUUGAGUGGCACCUUUUCUACUAGUCUGGAAGUUUAUUGGCCUUUGUGUCCCCAGUACCUACCACUUCUCCUGACACAGAGAAUGUGCUCAAACGUGUUUGCUGAAUGAACUAGAAAGUCUAAAUUAUUUCAGCUCUGCAUUAGCAAGAGUCAAUGCCACAGGGAACUAGCUGAUCAAACACUCACAGACUUUCAGACCUGCACGGGGCUUGUGGCAGCCAGCCCUCCAGAUGACCUCCAAUGAUCCCCUCCUCCUGGAAUUCAUACCUUCUUCAGUCCCUUCCCACAAUGUGUCAGGGUUGGUCUGCGUAACCAAUAGAACGAGAUGGAUGUAACAAUGUGUGACUUCCACGCCACUUCUGCCUUGCUCUGCCUUGAGUCACUCGUUCUGAAGGAAGCCAGACGCCAUGUUAUAAGGACACUCAAGCUGGCCUAUAGAGAGGUCCAUGGGAGGAGGAACUGAGGCUAGCUGCCCACAGCCAGCAUCAGCUUGCCCACCAUGGGAGGGAGCCUCCUGGCGAGCAGACCCUUCAGGCCUAGGUCAAGCCCUCAGGUGUGGCAGCCCCACCCACUGUCUUCUUGACUGCAGCCUCAAGAAAGAUGCUGAACCAGAACUACGAGCUAAGCUGCUCCCAGAGGAUCUACCACCUGUCUCCACCUGUGUUUGCUGAAGUUAGAAGUGGGCUUCCUGGAAGUAAUUGAAGGGCGUCACCUUGGGCUGUCCUGAGUACUGCUUGCUGCUGGCCUUGGCAUGGAAGGCCCAGAGACAGUCACCACCCACAGUAACCAAGACCAAGGACACUAAGUCACCCAAGUGGAACUGGAUCCCUCGAUUCUGCACGGGGUCCCUAAUGGAGGCCUCCAUCUGCCGAGACAUCCUCCUCUUCCCAUAGUCAUGGGACACAGGAGCGAGGUCACACACAGAAGGCCGCUGUAGGGGAGGGGCUUCACGAGGCCUAUGCUCUGGAGGACUCAUGAAUAGCCAGGAAUGUGGGAGCCUGAGGUCAUCCUGAAUUGCUCCCAAUUUUAACCCCGUGCAUGCCCCCAAAUGCCUCAUUUCUCCCAUUUAUGUACUUUACUCUCAUAAAUGUAAUUAAGUUUCUGUCUGUUACCGAAUCACAAGAAGGCACCCAGAGAGGUCUUUUCACUGACUUUUCCGGUGGGGGUUGAAAUGGUCUGCCCUAAACUCAUAGGCUAGGUAUUCUUGAAAUUUACUUCAGGGAGCAUGGCAGGCAUUUGUAGAGAUCUCAAAGAGACUGACAGUGACUCUCAGCAGCUGAGCCCCUUGCCAAAGGGACUGUGAGGGGACACAUGUGCUGUGCAUGUCAAGAUGCCACGGACAGAGAUAACAAAUGGGGCCUCUAAACAUUAGCCUCAGAUCGGAAGUCAUGAUCCUGGAUGCUCCGCUCAGAGUGGCAGGAGCAGGUCUGUGACAGAGCCCUGUGGCACAGGCAGCCUGCUUCUGCAGGGUAGAGGGUGUGGGAUCGACUUACUGAACUGCGUUGAAGGAUUCUCCAGGGCAAUGCUGGGGCAGCCAGCUCUUCCUCAGCUCAUCUUGUAAAUCUGAACUGAGGAGGUAAAUUUCCAUGAUCUAAGAAGCUCUUCUCUCUGCGGACAUCCACUCGGGAUUUUAUUUUUAAAGUGUUUCACUGAAAAAUGUUUGAAGGAGGCUGAAGUAGCAAGCUGUACAACCAAAACUAAGGGAAUUUCCAUGAGCUUAAUUUAAAGAAAGUUCCCCAGCAACUCAGCUAAAACAGCGUGAGAACGCAUAGGCUGUGGGCCUGAAAAUAUUUUAAUCAAGACUCCCUUUCGUGCACACUAAUUACCUUGAUGCCUCAGACUGGCUUCCAGGCUGACUGACUCCCUCACCCUCAGCUUCUUCCUACCCUCUUCGACCCCCACCUUGGGGACAGAGGAUCCUUGUCACUCCCCCAAGGGCCUGUCCUUAGCUCCCUUCCUUCUGGUGGCUCUUGCAUUUCAUGGAGGAGCCAACUCAAGGUCCAGGCUGGGUGACACCAGCCUCACAGCCUGGGCAGCCUUGUAAUCUUCCCCAGGUUUUACCUGGUGGUCCCCACGGGACCCCUAAACUCAACUAUGCACCUUCCCACCCAACCCCCAGGCCUGGGCAGGACUCCCACCACCCAGUCCUUGGAGAUGUCCCUUUCUCCUGCUCCGGUCUCUAGAAAGAGGGCUUCCUCAGAACCAGUGUUGUCUGCCAGCCUCUGACAAGGUGCAGAGGGGCUGCCCUGCAGAGAACUUGGGAGGAGCACUCUCUCUCCGCGCCUCCACACUAGACUUCCAUCUGGACGUCUGCCUACAGUGGAAGCUACGCAUCCAGCCUGGGCGGUGAACUACACGUCCGGAAGGGACUGACUUAGCUCGAGCCCCUGGCUUCACAGCCUCCGCAGGUUUACCAGAUGGCCUGUCUGCUGUCAUCUGUCCAUGCUGAGGACGCUUCCUGAAUGUCUGCCCCAAAUCUCUCCUGAAGUCAUUGAACUGGGCCUUCCUCCUCCACUUUCCUGGUCCCAAAGGACAAUAAGCGCUCUCUCUUCUCUCCCUACUUCAGGCCAGAUAGUUCUCAUCCUCGUCAGAGUCCCCUGCUUCUCUGCGUCCCUCUGGGUUAGAUGGAAAUCCACAGGUCACCAGACAAAAAGGGGCACCUGGUGCUUUUUGAUGAGCAAGAACAGAAGUUUCGAGGCCUCCGGGAAUUUUUGAAAACCUUUGGUGAAACGAAUCAGAAGAUCUGGAAGCUGUAUCUUUAAAAGGUUCCCUCUGUGGCUGCUGCCAGAUUUUGGCCUCAGGCUUGAGUCCUGAGCUCCCCCAGGGCUUGAGAAAGGGACAAGAGGAAACUGGUGCUGGGCCCUUCCCGAGGUUCGAGGUUGGAGAGCCACCGUAGGGAAGAGAGGGCCCCUCUCACUCCACCUCCUGGCCCGGGGCCUCGGCCUCUCCCUAGGAGAGUUUGGUGGUAAGUUGUCUCCCUGCGUCCCUCACGAUUUCUAUUCUCUGUCUCUCCCGUUCCCCGACUCACACCCCGUUCCCCAUCACACCCUUUUAUUCUCUGGAGACUCUGGUCAAGCCCAUGCCUUCUGUGGCCUCGGUCCUUCCUCAGUAUAAUGGCAGGUUUGGGUUACAUCCGGGUUUCCAAAGGUCCCGUCACUUGAAAGCCCCAUCACAAUUUUGCAUUUUUUGUACUGUCCUCUACUUGAAAUUUUUUAAUCUACACAUUCUGUGUUUGGUAAAUGUAUUUUAAAUGACCACUUUAUGUCACAAUUAUAAGUGGAAAACCAACUUCCCUUGUUAGAAAUAGAAGGAAACAAGAACAAUUGGAAAACAAAAUAGUGUUCCUAAGUCCCACUGAGACACUUUUGCCUCCGAAAGGGAGGUCUGCCCUCUCCUCUGUCACGUUCCCAGUCUAUGUCCUAAAAUCACCUCGGGUGCCAUUGGUGGAGCAGACCCCAAACUUUGUCCAACCAUGGAUUCAAGAUCUCUGGGAUCCAGUUCAAUUACUGAUGUUUCUUUCUCCCCCCUCCUUCCCAGCUGCUUUUUAUAACCCCCUGUAAUGAUCAUAACAUACACACAAAUACAAUCCUCUGCACUUAAAAAGACUUUUUUUUUUUUUGGCUCCCACCAGCCCACAGAACAAGGGACCAGCAUUGUUUCGGGAGAGAUAACAGGCUCUGUUUCCAAUGUCCCUCCCCACUGGCCCUGACAGAUACCUCGGUGGUUCCUGACAGGAAAUCCCCUUCUGCCUCAUGGAAAACCCAGACAAGGAAGCAGAGCAGCCCCCAUGGACUGUUCAGGCUCCACCCAGCGUUGUAGAAGUAAAAAAAGGUCCAUCAUCUCAGGCCGGGGUCUGGAAGCCCCUGGGCUCUGACCACACUUACAAGGACACUGCAGCCUGUGAGGAGACACACACAGAACACCAGGCCUCUUACGGUGGCAUCGGCACCAUAGCUUACCAGGUCCACAGUGGUUUUGACUCUUACAUCAACUUGAUGAAGUCUGCAGAGGAACAGGUAUCGCUCCCUCCGUUUGGCAAAUGAGAAAACCACAGCCAAGAGGCUCUGCCGGAGAUCUAACUCAAGGUCAGGACCAAGCCCCAGAGUGCAGCUGAGUCCCAGUGACAGAGUCGGACACUCACGCCAAGCACACCCUGAGCCGGGCCACCUCCCAACCCAUCCCACCCCCUCCCUGUUGGGGUGAACGGGUCCUGCCUGGGGGCAGCAGGUCGUGCGUGGAGGCCUGAAGGAUGCCGAGUGAUGACUCGAGCAGCCGUCUUCUGCUGUGGGGCCUUCCUAGGCCUUCCAAGAGACCAGGUGAAACCAGGAGGCCCUGCCCCAAGCCUUGCCCUGUCUUACUUCAGUAGGUAGAGCUAGGCUCAGGAUGGAACCCUGGGGUCGGCCAAGAUGCCUGGGGCCUCGCUUCUAGCUGCCUCUGCAGCCUGGGAAACCUCUGUCCUCACUUCUGUGCUGGCCUCACCAUGGAGGGGGCUUUCUCUCCCACCUUCCCUACCAAGGACCCCUUUAAUCCCGAAACUGUGUUUUUACCAUACAAACCACAAUUGCUGUGUAACGCUUCCUUCAUUUUCUCAGUUUGUGCUGACCAAGGCUGUGAGAGCCAUCAGACCCCUGGGCAGUGGGGACAACCCAUGCCAUGUUCUGCACUGCAGACUCCCACACGAGCCUGCACGUCCAUCCCCUUUCUCGACACUCCUUUGUAAGUCAUUGUUUGACAUUCUUACCCACUCAUAUUCCUUUCCUAUGACUGCUGUAACAAAUCACCACAAACUUGGUUUGAAACAAUAGACAUUUAUCCUCUCACAGUUCUUGAGGCCAGAAGUCUGGACCGAAGGUGUUGGUAGGGUUGGUUCCUGCCGGAUGCUCUGAGGGAGAAGCUUGUCCAUGCCUCUCUAGCCUCCAGUGGCAGUCAGCAAUCCUUGGCUUGUAGGAGCAUCACUCUAGUCUCUGCCUCCAUUUCACGUGGCCUCCCCUGCUCUGUCUCACGGUCUGUUUCCCAGAGAAACAUUCAUACGUUGUUAGAUUUCAACAAAUGAAUUUUGAGGGGACACAAAUGUGAAGUCCAUCACGCUCAUUAUUUCCAAUAAGACAAGGAUCUUUAGACUCAUCUUUGAAAAUGAUUCUCAAGUUAGAGAACCAUGGAGAGAACAUCAGUGUCCAUCCAGCUGAGCCCCCACGGUAUAGAUGAAUCUCCUCUACAAGCCCCUCUCAAAUGAUUUCCUAGUGUCCACCUAAACACCUCCAUCCACCAUGUCCGGAGGCAGCCAUAGAGUCCUUGGGUCGCCCUACCAUGGAGGAACAUUGUCCUGCUGAGUUACAGUCCAGAACCUGCAGCUCCCAUUCUCAGGCCCAGUUUUAGCCCUGGGGCCGUGUAGAGCAAGUCCACAUCUCUUCUCCAUGGGACAGCUCUUCAGAUAUUUAGCAACCACUGUUCUGGUCUUCCCAGCUCCAGGGUGAACACCGCCCCCAGCCCACCGUUGCAAACACGGUGGGGUCUUCCUGGUCAUCCUUCUCUGAACAGGUCCUAGUUUGUCUCUACCCCUUCAUUUAGAAGUGGGGUGCCCAGAAAUGCAAACAAUGGCCGUCUGCAUGCUGUUCAUCCUGUAACACAGAAUCCAGUGCUGGGAUAACAGCGGGAAGCAAGACAGACAGGGUCCAGCUGUCCUGAAGCUCCUGUUCCAGCUAAGGGGGUGGGGGAUGGAGAGAAACAAAUAAGGAACAUAUCAGAGAGUGAGAGAGGCUCUUCUGAGAGCUGCAGCAGGGGUCUACCAUAAAGCAUGACCAGUGGUCAGGUAGCCUCUUUGCGGGACUGGUGUUUAUGCCCAGGUCCGAAUGACAAGAACAGCUAAAGCAAAGUCCCUAAUGCACCACAGACCCCCUCCUUCACCCCCCUUUCCCUAAGGCCCCACCACCCUCCGAUCCUCCCGCCCCACGCUGGCUCCUAUCUCUCUCCAAAUCACAGGCAUUCCCCAAGCAGGGCCAGCGCCAGAAGGGUGGGCCCUGGGGCAGCUCAGCCACUCUGGGGGCCGCCGAAGGUAAUCACACUGAAAUUCCAGGAUUGAAUUCAAUGACAUGGAGAAGAGAAAAGAGGAUUAGGUGUAGUUCAAGCCGCCCAGCCCUCUCCCCACCAGUGUGGGGUCCAGGCUAUUGGGUGCCCUUCUCAAAGGUCUGCUUCUGAGCAGAAGGAACCAGGAUCCAAAAGACAGGUAGAAAGGGUGCCUGGAAUGGGGGUGCCCUGCAGCCUGGUCUUCAGCGAACCCCAACCUCUCCACUGAGCCCACAAAACCCACUACCCAGGUGGUCUUCAAAGAUACCUGGAUGCUAUCAGACUCAGCUGAAACACCCAGCAGCCUCUGCCCUCUGGUGGGAUCAAUCCCAAAGCCCACGUGGUGACAGCUCUCCAGCGGGCACCUGCCCUCCAACGCAAUCAUCUGUGCUGUGUCCAUGACCCCACGGAGAGCGCUGUCAAGGAGGUGCUUUCCUGCAUCACCAGUGCCCAGCUCUGUGCCUGCAAAGAAUCCGGUCUACACACACAUUUGUUGAAGGAAGAAAAGAAGGGAGGAAGGGAGGGGUGAGAGAAGAAAGGAACUCUGAGCUGCAUCCUCAGCCCUCCCAUCACAGGCCAGCUCUCAGAAGUGGGCGCUGGCUCCUGUUUGCACACUUGGGACAGCUCUGGUCUCCUCCUCCUUGUCUCCCAUGUGCGCAUGCCUGAAGGAGCUCAGAACCCCGACUUCCUUCCACCUGAAGAUGCUGGAGUUGUGGUAGGGUGCAGGGUUCAGACCGUCUCCCGGGAACGGGUUGCAGGGGGAAGGCAGGGCAGGAAGGCCCGAGACACUCCCCCCAGGAGCUUCUGCGUUUUGGCCAGCACGGCCCUGGCCGGAGGGCAGCCCAGGGCUUUUCUCCCCUCCAUUUCUGGAGCCUGGCCACAGGCCUCUGGACAGCACACUCUGCCCUGUUCCUACCAGAGGCUGAGGCCCCUCGGGCUCCCUGUGGCUCCAGGAUUCUGAGAACUGGACAUGUUGUCACCAUUUGACAUGGCAAGAGGCCAGAAGUGUCCAAGGGUAGCCGGUCCUCCGAUAGUGACAAG